rnacentral:rRNA from 1 species
GACGAAGGAUGCAAGCGUUAUCCGGAUUCAUUGGGUUUAAAGGGAGCGUAGGUGGCCUUAUAAGUCAAGUGGUGAAAUCUCUGGGCUUAACCCAGAAAUUGCCAUUGAUACUGUAGGGCUUGAGUAUAGUUGCCGUUGGCGGAAUAUGACAUGUAGUGGUGAAAUACAUAGAGAUGUCAUAGAACACCGAUUGCGAAGGCAGCUGACGAAACUAUAACUGACACUGAGGCUCGAAAGUGUGGGGAUCAAACAGG